rnacentral:rRNA from 1 species
AGUCGAAUGGGAUACCUAAAUUUCCCAUGGCGAACUGCUCAGUAACACAUGAUCAACUUGCCCUAUGGAGAGAGAUAACCUCGGGAAACUGAGGCUAAUAUUUCAUAGUUGAAAAGGCUUGGAAAAGUUUUUCAAUCAAAGGGAUAAGAAAAAUGGUUCUUAUCUGCCAUAGGAUAGGAUUGUGUUCGAUUAUGGUAGUUGGUGAGAUAAUGGCUCACCAAGCCGAUAAUCGAUAGGGGCCGUGAGAGCGGGAGCCCCGAGAUGGGUACUGAGACAACGACCCAGGCCUUACGAGGCGCAGCAGGCGCGGAACCUCAUCAAUACACGAAAGUGUGAAUGGGUUACCCAAAGUGUCCUUAUUCGGACUGUGGUAGGUGAGUAAUGUCCCCUACUAGAAAGGAGAGGGCAAGGCUGGUGCCAGCCGCCUCGGUAAAACCAGCUCUUCAAGUGGUCGGGAUAAUUAUUGGGCUUA